UUAACAUGCCCUUAAGCCUGGGAUAAUUUCGGGAAACUGAAGCUAAUACCAGAUAGAUAAGAGGUACUGGAAUGUCCUCUUAUCCAAAGAUUUAUCGCUUAAGGAUUGGACUGCUCCGGAUUAGGUUGUUGAUAGGGUAACGUCCUGUCAAGCCGAUAAUCCGUACGAGCCUUGAGAGAGGAAGCUCGGAGAUGGAUUCUGAGACAAGAAUCCAGGCCCUACGGGGCGCAGCAGGCGCGAAACUUUCCCAAUGCACGAAAGUGUGAGGAAGGGAUUCGGAGUGCUUUCCCUUACAUAGGGGAAGCUUUUGUAGAGUGUAAAAAGCUUUAAGAAUAAGUGGUGGGUAAGACGGGUGCCAGCCGCCGCGGUAAUACCCGCGCCACGAGUGAUGACCACGUUUAUUGGGCUUAAAGCGUUCGUAGCCGGCCCAGUAAGUCCUUAGUGAAAUCCCGCAGCCAACUGUGGGGCUUGCUAGGGAAACUGCUGGACUUGGGACCGGGAGAGGUCUGGGGUAUUCCAGGGGUAAGGGUAAAAUCUUGUAAUCCUUGGGAGACCACCCGUGGCGAAGGCGCCAGACCAGAACGGAUCCGACGGUGAGGGACGAAAGCCAGGGGAGCAAAGGGGAUUAGAUACCCCCGUAGUCCUGGCUGUAAACGAU
rnacentral:rRNA from 1 species